rnacentral:rRNA from 1 species
GUAGCUGGCCUUCCGAGGCAUGUGCACGCCCUGCUCAUCCACUCUACACCUGUGCACUUACUGUGGGUUUACGGGUCGUGAAACGGGCUCGUUUAUUCGGGCUUGUUGAGCGCACUUGUUUCCUGCGUUUAUCACAAACUCUAUGAAGUAUCAGAAUGUGUAUUGCGAUGUAACGCAUCUAUAUACAACUUUCAGCAACGGAUCUCUUGGCUCUCGCAUCGAUGAAGAACGCAGCGAAAUGCGAUAAGUAAUGUGAAUUGCAGAAUUCAGUGAAUCAUCGAAUCUUUGAACGCACCUUGCGCUCCUUGGUAUUCCGAGGAGCAUGCCUGUUUGAGUGUCAUGAAAUCUUCAAUCUACAAACUUCUUAUGGGGUUUGUAGGCUUGGACUUGGAGGCUUGUCGGUCCCUUUACAGGUCGGCUCCUCUUAAAUGCAUUAGCUUGGUUCCUUGCGGAUCGGCUUGUCGGUGUGAUAAUGUCUACGCCGCGACCGUGAAGCGUGUUUGGGCGAGCUUCUAACCGUCUCGUUACAGAGACAACUUUUAUGACCUCUGACCUCAAAUCAGGUAGGACUACCCGCUGAACUUAAGCAUAUCAAUAAGCGGAGGAA